rnacentral:tRNA from 1 species
GGGCCCGUAGCUCAGCUUGGUUAGAGCGCUGGUCUUAUAAGCCAGAGGUCCUGGGUUCAAAUCCCAGCGGGCCCA